rnacentral:rRNA from 1 species
UACGAAGGGACCUAGCGUAGUUCGGAAUUACUGGGCUUAAAGAGUUCGUAGGUGGUUGAAAAAGUUAGUGGUGAAAUCCCAGAGCUUAACUCUGGAACUGCCAUUAAAACUUUUCAGCUAGAGUAUGAUAGAGGAAAGCAGAAUUUCUAGUGUAGAGGUGAAAUUCGUAGAUAUUAGAAAGAAUACCAAUUGCGAAGGCAGCUUUCUGGAUCAUUACUGACACUGAGGAACGAAAGCAUGGGUAGCGAAGAGGAUUAGAUACCCUCGUAGUCCAUGCCGUAAACGAUGUGUGUUAGACGUUGGAAAUUUAUUUUCAGUGUCGCAGCGAAAGCGAUAAACACACCGCCUGGGGAGUACGACCGCAAGGUUAAAACUCAAAUGAAUUGACGGGGACCCGCACAAGUAGUGGAGCAUGUGGUUUAAUUCGAAGAUACGCGCAGAACCUUACCAACACUUGACAUGUUCGUCGCGACUCUAAGAGAUUAGAGUUUUCGGUUCGGCCGGACGAAACACAGGUGCUGCAUGGCUGUCGUCAGCUCGUGUCGUGAGAUGUUGGGUUAAGUCCCGCAACGAGCGCAACCCUCACUUUUAGUUGCCAUCAUUAAGUUGGGCACUCUGAAAGAACUGCCAGUGAUAAGCUGGAGGAAGGUGGGGAUGACGUCAAGUCCUCAUGGCCCUUACGUGUUGGGCUACACACGUGCUACAAUGGUAUCUACAACAGGAAGCAAGACUGCGAAGUUAAGCAAAUCCCUAAAAGAUACCUCAGUUCGGAUUGCACUCUGCAACUCGAGUGCAUGAAGCUGGAAUUACUAGUAAUCGUGGAUCAGCGUGCCACGGUGAAUGCGUUCCCGGGUCU